ACGUCUGUCAGCCAAGCGCAACAGGCGAGAGCUAUUUAGAGAGCGGGCCAAUCUAUUGCUCUGGCAACGGUACUGCUAGCGAACGUCACCCACCCUCACAGUUUUGACAGGAGCGGGAGGAGGGAAAGGGUACAUCCAAAAGUUAUACUUCCAUCGAAAUGGCUGGAACACGGGGCGGUAGAUCCCGAGGAAAUCGUGUGGAUGAUGUGGAAAUGCGCCGACUUCGCAGUGAUUUAGAUCGGAACUUCAAACCGAUCUUUGACAGACAUGGGCCGGAGGGUGUGGCGAUGGGGGAGCUGCAGCGAGAGAUGCAGGAGGAGGGCAUCACAGACAGGAUCAGCAAGCAGCGACUGAACCAGCUGCUGGACCGAGCCGACUACAACGAUGACAACAUGAUCACAUACACCGAGUUCGUCAAUCUUAUGACCAGCAAUGAGGGUCUGACAAAGUCUGAGAGGUCGGCUUUCACAAGCGUCCUUGGGGCAGCCAUUGCCAACAUCGUGCCCCAGAGUAUGAGGAAGGACUUCCUCGCCAACUACAACUGCCGGCCACCACCACUCUUCAUCCUCCUCAUCAGCACCGCCGAGAUUGUGAUAUUUGGUGUUUACGCUGCGGAGUUGGCCAAGACAAGUAGUCCUGUGACUGCCACGAGUGGAGUGCCCAUGUACAGUCCCCUCGUGUACACACCGCGGCGCAGAUACGAGGCCUGGAGAUAUCUCACAUACAUGUUUAUACAUCAAGGAUGGCUGCAUAUUGUAUCGAACAUGGUGUUCCAGCUGUUGUUUGGCCUGCCGCUGGAGAUUGUACACAAGUGGUGGAGAGUCAUGGUGGUGUACUUGUGUGGUGUUCUAGCAGGUUCCCUGGCCCACUCUGUGACAGACCAUUCCGUGGCGCUGGUGGGAGCUAGUGGAGGGGUGUACGCUCUCUUGGGGGCUCAUUUAGCUGCAGUAGCUACGAACUGGAAGGAGAUGAACUACAAGUGCUGUGAGGGGAACAUUGUGCGUGUGAUGCUGAGUGCGCCGGUCCGACUCGUCAUCAUCCUGGUGCUUGUUGUGCCAGAUACCAGUCUUGCCAUCUACAGACGAGUCACAGCACCAGAGGACCAGAAGGUGGGAGUGUCUGCUCAUGUUGGAGGCUUCCUCACAGGUCUGUUGCUUGGAAUUCCUGUCCUGAAGAACAUCAAGAAGCUGCCCUGGGAGACCACCCUCGGGUGGGUCACAAUGGCCAUAUUCCUGCUGCUCGUGGCUUUUGCCGUUCUCUUCAAUGGUCUUUACAAAGGCUACCCAGCUACAGAUUGGAGUUAAGUUUGCUCACAGAGGCCGUGUGCAAUUUGAACAUUUUAGAUUUUAUACGACAUUUUGCAUAAUUGUACAUACCCAUAAUAUUUUAUACAUUUUUAAACAUAUCCCUUUACUUUCACCACUUUCUCAGGAUGUGUUUUUGAGAGCUAAUGUGCAUGUCUCAUCACUGUUAUAUUCCUCCCUGUAUAUGUCAUGUGUGCCUUACCUUAAACUUGUCUAAGAUCUGAAUCAAAACUUCCAAGAUGAGAUAAAAUUAUUACAUCUUGUGAUUUCGUGGCAUAUGUGACAUAGAGAAUGUUAUAGACCUAUUUCUUGGUUUUUUCCGAAUGUAAUACCAAGGUAAUCAUUUCUAUAUAUGGAGACCCAUGUUUAGUAUGGUGUGUGGUAUGUUGCCUCGACAAACUUAAUGGAGUACGUGUCAAAUUUCACCACACCGAUGUCACAGGGUUCCACAGAUCAGGAAUACAGUAAAUGUUUUUCUAACAUUUCUUUUUAGCUGGUUCACAGUUUAAUUUCUGAUUUCAAAGCACUGUUGAUGAAAGUAUAAACGAAAAACAUGUCUUUUGAGUUAUCUGUGAAAAGUAUGCAGAUUUUGGUAAAAUAAAAUAAAUGGAACGAAAGAGGCAUACAGCAUGGAGAGUGAAUGAGUGAAAGAGUUCCUUCCCUUUUCCUAGGAUUUCCUUUGAAGAGUUAUAGCAUGUGACAUCCUGUUGAAAUCAAAUGCCAAGCCAUAUUAAGACAAUUGUUGAACAGUUAUUCUAUUUUCUUAACUAUAAUGUUAUGCAAAACCUUGGUGUGUUGAUGUUGUGUUUGCAAUAGAUGCAUAAUAUUUAUUGUUUUUAUGAUCACUGUGAAGGAUGACAGUGAUGGAAUGUAGAUUUCUCGGUUGAUGCUCAGUUUGUUUCAGGACAAUCCUUGUGUUUUAUAUCAGUAUUGAAGAAUGUAGAACUGAUUUGUAUGCAUUUAGGAUUGGAAAUAAGUAAAGGGAUGGAAAAAUCAUGAUUUGCAUUAUCAGGUAUUUUUACUGUAGUGGAUUUUGAUGAUGAUGCAGAGGUCAAGUAGUGACUCAGAGGUCAAGUAGUAACACAGAGGUCAAGUGACACAGAGGUAAAUAAUCCACAGGUCAAGUAGUGACUCAGAGGUCAAGUAUUUAAAGAGGUCAAGUAGUAACAGAGGUCAAGUAGUAACACAGGUCAAGUAGAAACACAGGUCAAGUAGUAACACAGGUCAAGUAGUAACAGAGGUCAAGUAGUAAAAGGUCAAGGAGUAACACAGAGGUCAAAAUCCACAGGUCAAGUAGUGACACAGAGGUCAAGUGACACAGAGGUCAAGUGACACAGAGGUAAAUAAUCCACAGGUCAAGUAGUGACUCAGAGGUCAAGUAUUUAAAGAGGUCAAGUAGUAACAGAGGUCAAGUAGUAACACAGGUCAAGUAGUAACACAGGUCAAGUAGUAACAGAGGUCAAGUAGUAACAGAGGUCAAGGAGUGACACAGAGGUCAAGUAGUAACAGAGGUCAAGUAGUAAAAGAGGUCAAGGAGUAACACAGAGGUCAAGUGACACAGAGGUCAAUAAUCCACAGGUCAAGUAGUGACACAGAGGUCAAGUGACACAGAGGUCAAUAAUCCACAGGUCAAGUAGUGACACAGAGGUCAAGUGACACAGAGGUCAAUAAUCCACAGGUCAAGUAGUGACACAGAGGUCAAGUGACACAGAGGUCAAUAAUCCACAGGUCAAGUAGUGACACAGAGGUCAAGUGACACAGAGGUCAAUAAUCCACAGGUCAUGUAGUGACAAAAAGGUCAAGAGGUAACAGGACACAUACUUUCAAAGAGGUCAAGUUGUGAAGGUCAAGUAAUGACACAGAGGUCACUGACACAAUCAGAAGUCAAGGCAACACUAAGACGUCCCGGAAGACUGUUGGAGUCAAUGUUAGACAGGUAUUUUCAAGAAAUGGGGAAAUAAGUCUUGAGUUGAUAAUUGUUGAUAUACCAAGACGGGAUUAUAAGAUGUUUUUGUUUCUAAUUUGUUCUCAUAUGACAAUACUUUAUGAUCAACUCAGAGGUAAUGAAGUUAAAGUUUCAUUAACUAGCUGGCCAUGUGUCGAACACUCUGUUUGGUUGUAGUGUAGUCAGAUGGACCCUCUGAAGUGGUCGGAAGUCCGGUGAUGUUGAAGUAAAUUGUUGAACAUGUUUGCUGGACUGUACUUGCAGUUUCAAGUCUGUUUGAUGUUUUGCCUGAAAAACUCAUUUAGACUCAAUAUAUUUGUAUAAUUAUUUUCUAUAGUUUUGUAGUGACCGAGACCUUAUACACUGUCAGUGUAACUGUGUAUUACUUAAACGAUCUGAUGUAGUAUUAUGAGAUAGCUUGAUAUUUUCUCUGUACUCAGUGUUGAACAUGUGUAUCUGGUAUUUUGGUGUGAACAAGUUACUUAAACAGUAGGAGGCAUGAAAGAAGUUUGUAAUCUGUUGGAAAAAUGUAUUUCUUUUGGUAUAUUUUUAAAUGAAAAGCAUGCGUGUAAAUGUAGCCCAUUUCUGAUGUGAACAACAGCAGAAGUUCUGAUAAUUCACUGUUCAUGUUUUGUCAUUAAAAGGUUGACGCUAUGCAAGUGACAGUAUCAUAUAACAGCAUUAUCAGAUAGUAAGAGGCCCCUCACCAGAUUGAAACAAUGAGUUUUGCCUUUUCAAAGCCAUUUCUGGUACAUUGCUUUCUACAACGGAAAGCUCUAACUUUCUAACAGCUAAUGGCUGUUGUGAUGCUGAAAAGGUUUUAGUUCCAUUCUCUCAUGGUGUAAGAUAUCGAUUUGUCACUUGUCAUCGAACUUCCACCAUUUUGCCAGUCAAAUUCUUGCCAUGUCAACCAUCAUAUUUGUUACGGAAUUAAUAAGCAUAUGUGACAUUUUUGUAUUUUCAUUAUAUAAUAUCCCACAUGAAACUGUUUCUUUCCCAACAUGACACCACUUUGUCUGCUUGUGUCUACCUAUUGAUAUUUGUAUUGUCAAAGGUGUUUUGAGAAUUUUACUAUUUUUCUACUACUUUUCUUUUUUUUAUCAUCUAUUAAGAGCACAUAAAUUUUGCUUUUUAAUAUGCAUAUGGUUGAGUUUCAUAAGGGUUAUGAAUAAAAAUGUAUGUUGUUACCUGUUUAGUUGAUACUUGUAUAUCUGUCAGCAUCCGAGAGACUGCCCUGAUUUGUGUGCACAUGCUUGAGUAGAAUAAGGGAUCAUUCACUCGUUCCAGUGUAAUUAUGUUUGUCUUAAUCAUAUCAAAGGUAAAUAAUUUGGGUAAAUGAGGGUGUUGGGCCAUGUAUGAAGUAGAAUGUUGUUUUUGAAAUGUAUAUUCAAGACAGAAAUACCCAUUACAAGCAGAGAUUUGAUGUAUGGGAAUAAUUCAUUCUACUACGGCCUGACGUUUGUCAUGCUGUUAUUUGAAUACAUGUUUUCCUUUCAAACAUGGUCGUACAGAUUCUAUAAGAUUUCCCUCAGUUGGAUUAUAAUAAAUUAUUAUGAAUUAUUGAAGGGUUUGUUUGUAGAGGGAGUGAACGAGUAUGGUUUUAUGCCGCUUUUAGCAAUAUUCCUGUAAGAUCACAGCAGGGAAGACCAGAGAAUGGGCUUCAUACAUUGUACCCAUGUGGGGAAUUGAACCCGGGUCUUUAUCAUGACAAGCGAACACUUUAACCACGAGGCUACCCCACUGCCACCUCUAAUGUAGAAUACAACGUCUUCAUGUUUAAAAAAAAAUAGUGACAUACAAAAAAAAUUUUAGAAUGUCAUGUCAAUUUGAAAAAAACAACAUGCUAAUUUAAUAAUAAUAUGUGAUGCUCAAAAUAAAGUUUAUUUAAUCAAGUGGUGUGUUUGUACAUAUUGCUUCCUGAUGCAAAAACAUGCUGAUUUUUAUUUAGUUUUAUUAAAUACGUUGUUGUACGGCACAAAGCAUGUGACAUUUAAACAGUGUGAUGUUGUGAAAGUUUUUGACUUGAACUAUAUCUAAUGGCAUGUACAUAUCCCAGUUGAAUUUCAUAAUUUUAUUUUAUUGUGUUAGCUGUUAUGUUUCAGUUUUUCUCUUUCAUCAUCAAUUUAUAAUAGGCAUGUCAUGACUGUUGUUUUGUAGUCAUGUUAUAGUGAAUGUAGAUGCCACGCAUGAUUGGUGUGUGACAACAAGUCAAGCAAUAUGUGAUUAUUGAUAACUUGCACUGUUUUUUGUAAGGAAUUAAAUCAAAUAUAUAACUCUU
rnacentral:misc_RNA from 1 species